CAUCCCAGGGAAUCUAAAGUGUCAUUUCCUCUCUGGAAGAAAGGAAGCACAAAACAUGCUAGGACACAAUUGGAGAAACUGAUUAUUUUACCCAGGCUUUGACUGGAAUGGCAUGAUUCCUUUAAAAAAUUCAAGCUUGACUUAUACAGCCAAUUAAGCCCUGUUGGGGAAUCUGGCCUCAUACCUUGUCCACACAGAGUCCUUGUACAAGUUUCCUGACCUGUGAAAGAAGAAAGAGCUUUAACAGACAUUUGAUAAUGAAUUGUUACUUCUUACUCAUGUUUAUAUAUAAACUCUUGACUGCCAAUGCUAUAAAAGACAAUUCAAAAGGAAGAAAUGCAAUUAUAUUGAAACACCAUUCAAAACAUCACAACAAGAAAUGCAGUCUACUAUAAACUGAGUAAAUAGAAAGAUAUACAGUAGUACUGAGGCUACUACCAGGAGAAGGCAAUAUUGGUACUGAACAAAAAAGAGUUUCUUCACACUGAAGUACAGCACAGUUGAGAAGCAUGAAAUAAAGACAUUUUCUAGACUCCAAUUCUAUCAUUUCCAUGAGAAGUCCUGGAAGCCAUCUCCCACAGAUACCAAGAGACCACUGUAUAUCCAGAAGUGUGACUACUGUGUAAUAUGAAGUUAUAAUUUUAAUUUCUUCAGGAACCACCAUACUGCUUUCCACAGCAGAUUUAAACAGUAUCCAUUCAGAACAAUGACAAGAAAGCUUUAAGCUUAUACAAUACAAGAUGCUUCUUGCCCUUCUAGGAGGAAUCCUCUACUGAAAUGGAAGACGCAGUCUCGCUCUGUCGCCUGGGCUGGAGUGCAGUGG